rnacentral:lncRNA from 1 species
AGGGAAUCAACUUCUAGUUCAUAAAAUUAUAUUUUUUUUCAUCUCAGCAACAUAUCAGUUCUGUUCGUACCUGAUGGUGACAACAAAAUCUAACAUGUUUUUAGUAAUACUGAUCUUAACAACUUAUCAAUUGACUGCCACAGCUCAACGUGAGUAAAGAUUUGCAUUCUAAUUUUUUCAGACUAUGUGUAAUAUGUAUUACCCUUACUUUUCAUUUUCUAUUUUCAUAUUCAAUAUUAAUGUAUGACACCUCUGCCAUCGCUCCACUAAACAAGUAAUCGAAAAGCUUUAUUGAAUCUAAUCGGAAUGCAUAUUUAAUUACAUCAACAAAACAAUGUAUUGGGUUAGAUACAUAUAUAAUAUAUUUUAAAGAUUAUUUAUCUUUUCUUAAUUUGAUUUGUAUUUCUUAAUAGAUAAUCUUACACCAUAUGGAAUAGCUACGCAGAGUUCUAAUUUUGAAGAAAGCUUACCCCAAAAUGCUAUAGAGCCACCUAUAUCAAAUGCAUUUAGUAAGACUUUGUUCUCACACCAGACGUGGUAGUGAACCAGCUUGGUGGAUAAUUCAUUUUUCAUUCGGACAUGAAUACAUCACAGAUAUAAACCUAUACUAUAGAGAAAACUGUACGUUAACACAAAAGCAUGAUAGAAAACUGUUUUUGUUAAAUUUUGCUAUACUUACAAUGCCGACUUGUAAAAGAAACUAUUUGGAAUGAUCAAUGUUUGUCGCUAACCUACAUGUUUUUUACAAGAGAACUUAUUUUGCUUGAAUGUGUUGCGUCUGUUCGGACUCUUUUACUUAUAACAAUAUAUCGAGAGCUUGUAAGUUAAAAUAAAGUGCAAAACAAUGUAUUGUAAUGGGUUUUAGUUAUACAACGGCAUCAAAAGAAUAAAGUGUAAAAUAAAAGUAAAAUUACAAAAAUACCAAGUUCCGAGGAAAUUUCUCAAUGGAAAGUCGCUUAACAAAUGAAAUUAAUCAAAAUAUCAAACACACCAUAAAUAUUUUCUGAUAUAUACAAUGGUCUUUUAAACCAGGUUUUGUAGCUGAAUAAAUCUCUCACUUGUAUGGCAUUCAACCAUUGUAUUAUGAUUUUAACCCCUUAAAAAAAACAAGUCAACAAAGCAAUAAAAUGCAUGAACUUCAGAUUUUCAUUAAGUGAGAAAGUCUUAACUUUAACACAAAAAUCGUGUUGAAUUAUGGAGGGUAUUAAUUCAACAUUGAUAUAUCCACUGUAUUCCAACUAUCAAGUUUCAUUUCUUUAAUUGAUCAAUUAUCUCAAAAACAAACUUUGGCAAGAAGACCGUUGUUGGCCAUGCAAAUGCUAUUGUAAUACGUUUACUCCCGUCGACAAUUAUUUUUUUCCGAAGCGCAUAAGUUCACUGACAGACCAAUCGAGUACAUGUAAAUUAUUGACAUCAAGUUAAGUAUGUUCUUACACCGUUGUUUUACUGAAAAAUUGUUAAAUAAAUCUCCAGUAAAUAAACAAAUCCUCGAGUAUAAUGAUAGAUCGGUUUCGAAAAAAAAAUAAUCUACUCUUUAUAAUAAUAAAAAAAAAAAUAUUACAAAGGAUUUUCAUUGAAAAAUGUUGAAAACAGAGCAAAAAGUAAAAUCACAAAAAUACUGAACUCAGAGGAAAAUCUAAUCAGAAAGUCCAUAAUCACAUGGCAAACUCAAAUGACAAAACAAAUCAAAACCGAAUGGACAAGAACUAUUAGAAAAAUAAGGACUUAUAUACGGAUAAUUAUGUACACGCUAUUAACUUUUAUUCCUACAACAACACUACAUAUGCAUUCCACAACUAUAACAUAUUGUUACCACAAUUACUUCUGAUUACAGCGUCAUCGAGUAUAGCUAAUAUCGAAUUUAUAUUUAGUAUGAAAAACAUCUAUAAGCUACACGACGGGUGCCACAUGUGGAGCAGGAUCUGCUUACCCUUCCGGAGCACCUGAGAUACCCUAGUUUUUGUGGGUUCGUGUUGUUUUUCUUAGUUUUCUAUGUUGUGUCGUUUACUAUUGUUUUCUGUUGUCUUCUUUAUUUUAGCCGGCGUUGUCAGUUUGUUUUAGAUUUAUGAGUUUGACUGUCCCUUUGGUAUCUUUCGUCCCUCUUCUAUAAACUAUUGACGGUGUGUUAUUUUGGAAAUACUUUACGGUAUAAUCGAGAUAUUCAUACUUGAUUAGUUUACCAAAACAAACAUUAUGUUAAUCACGAGGCUCAUCAAGAUAUGUAAAGAUACUUGGCAGGCAUGCACAAUGCGCAAUGAUUAAUAAACAGAGAAGAUAAUCCUUUAAGACUGCAUAACUGCAUACAAUUAAGAAAUAUGAUGAUCAAAUGAAAUACCCUAAAAGGUGUUCACUCAUAAUAAAUACAAUGAUCAAAUCCAAUAUUAACAAAACUUUUUCCUUCAACAUGUUCAACAAACCUGUUCUAUAUCGAUAUGUCCUUGUCUAUGGACAGAAUAAAGUACAUUCAUCGUUUAGAGUUGUACAUUGAACUUGUAAUCACAUGUACGUAUAAUGUAUAUUUGGUAUGUCAUUUGCAUUGUUAUAAAUUAGCAUUGCAUUAUUUUUUAUGAAUUCAUUGUAUAGAUGUAUUCCUGAAUUUUUUUUGAAAUGCAUAAUGGUUGAAGUUAAAUUUGAUCAACUGUAAUAUACUAAGAAAAGUACUAAAAAACAUAACUACAUUUAGAAGUUGUCAAUUUUAUAUGAACUACCUAACGUCACGAGACAGAUCUAAAACUGAUUGAUUAUUCUUUGACAUCCAAAUACGUCAUUUUAAUAUAAGGACAUGUUUUGUUAAGAAUAAUAGAUUGUUUUAUUUCAUCGGUGAUUGACUUUUUUUUCAAAAUGUUUUUGUUUUAGAAGGACAUAAUUAUACUAUAGAAGUAUAAUGAAUGAAGUUUCGUUGUUAUUGUACACAUAUAAAGUUUGUUGUUCGUGUAAAACCAAUUGAAAAGCCAAUUUAUUAUUGUGUUAUAAUGCAAAAAGAUACUAGAUAUAAGGAUUGUGAUAUGUUUGUCAAUAUAGUCACGCAUGUAAAUUCUUAUUGGUAUGUUAUCCAUUGUAGUUGAAGUCCGAAUGUAUGGAUUUAAAGUAUGUGUGACAAAAACAUCAACUAUUCCACUUGACGGUUAUCUCUGCUAUGAAGACCCAGCUGAUGCUCUCCCUAUCACCACGCAAACAAUUCCAUGUUAUCAACUUGGAAAUGGGGAAUGUGCCAAAGAGACAACAACCCGACCAUAGAAAAAAAAACAACAGCAGAAGGUCACCAACAGGUCUUCAAUGUAGCGAGAAACUCCCACACCCGGAGGCGUCCUUCACGGUAUUAUAAUACACGGUAUUAAGACAAACAAAAGAGGUGACUACUAACUGUGCAUUGAUACCCAUCUAAAUUAUUCUUUAUAUAUUACGAAGAUAUAAAGUAUGAUCCAGAAUUCUGAAAUAAUAAUAAUUAGCGUUUGUUUUAUGAUUAUGUACACGUAAAUAAGAAAAAUAACCAAUAUAAAUCUUUUUUUUAAUUAAUUGCUAGAAACAAAAAUAAUAAGGAGAUGUGGUAUAAUGAUUGCCAAUAAGACCAACUAUCCACCAACAAUGAAUGAAUAUUUUCUGUAUUUCAAACCACUUAUCGUCCUGAACAUGUAUUUAAUUUCAUGAAACUAAAAAAAUAUCAUGAAUUUUUUUUUUUUUAGAGUUUGAUUGACAAUGAGACUACUUCCUAAAAGAGACCGAAUGACACUAGCAACUAUUGAUAACCGUAUGGCCUUCAACAAUGCAUAUAGAAAGCUUUAUAAGGCCCUAUAUCGGCAUCAGUAUUUUCACUCUUAUAUAUUUUAUAAAGGUUGUGCUUGAAAGAUACCAAUAACAACCAAAAAAAUGUCAAAUUAUUAACUGUAUGUACGUUUAUCUCUUACUUGUUGUUUGCAAUUGUUUUUAUUUUAUUUAGAUCAAUCAUCAUGUAAUUAUGUUGCAGAUCUAACAUCUGAAUACUUCUAGAGGAGAUACGGUAAAGCAGAGUGUAAGAUUAUGGGUACAAUCCUAGAAAACUGUAUUGCCAUGAAAUUGAAUUGGUUAUGGAGAGGUGACAAGACUGCUUUUUCCCGUAUGAUCAUUAAAGAUGUUUUAAUAAGUAAGUAUUACACUUUAUGAGUUCUUUAUGACAAAUUAUACCCACAAUUCAUUCUAAUAUUAAUGAAUUUCCAUAGACAAAUUUCCAAUAUUGAAAAAAAAAGAAAAAAAGGAUUGGUUAUUUAAGAUUUUAUUUUGUACUAAAUAGUGUUUAACUCUUUACCGUUCCUAUGACCCGAAUUCGGGUCAUAAGCCUUUUUUCGUUAUCAGUGAAAAGUAUCCACAUUUUAGAUAGGUGUUGUUUAAAAUACAUAUACAAUGUUAUACAUUUUUAAAAAGCUUAGGUUCUCAAGAUUUUAAAUAUGUAACUGUCAUCGGAAUAUACAUUAAUUUAUAUUACAUAUCUAGAAGGGAGAUUAUGCACGCAUGCAUUAGACAAAUACGCAAUUCAAGUUUACUUAUAACUUUAUUUCAGAGUCGGUUAGAAAAAAAACAUAGCUGUAAUGAGUCUUCAGAUAAGGAGAUAGAUGAUGCAGCUAAAGAUUGGCUGCGGUUUAGCCUUGACAGAGAAGUUGGCAAGAAACAGAGAAGGUAAAGAAAGAAUAACAUAUAUAGAUAAUAAUGACACUGUUGAAAUUCAAAUUGAGGAGGACAAUACUCGUGGUGACGACCAAUGAUAUCAAAUUAAAAAUAAUUAAAGU